rnacentral:rRNA from 1 species
AGAGUUGUAUCCUGGCUCAGAUUGAACGCUGGCGGCAUGCCUUACACAUGCAAGUCGAACGGUAACAGGUCUUCGGAUGCUGACGAGUGGCGAACGGGUGAGUAAUACAUCGGAACGUGCCCAAUCGUGGGGGAUAACGCAGCGAAAGCUGUGCUAAUACCGCAUAAGAUCUAAGGAUGAAAGCGGGGGAUCGCAAGACCUCGCGCGAGUGGAGCGGCCGAUGGCAGAUUAGGUAGUUGGUAGGGUAAAAGCCUACCAAGCCGACGAUCUGUAGCUGGUCUGAGAGGACGACCAGCCACACUGGGACUGAGACACGGCCCAGACUCCUACGGGAGGCAGCAGUGGGGAAUUUUGGACAAUGGGCGCAAGCCUGAUCCAGCAAUGCCGCGUGCAGGAUGAAGGCCUUCGGGUUGUAAACUGCUUUUGUACGGAGCGAAAAGGUUCUGGUUAAUACCUGGGGCCCAUGACGGUACCGUAAGAAUAAGCACCGGCUAA